GCAUGAGUACUAGGGAUGGGCGAUAUCUUAUCGUUAGCGAUAUAGCGGUAGAAAUUCUCCCCACAAUAUGAAUCAGUCUUCCCGUGAUGAUAACGAUAAAAGCCUAGCUGAUGACGUAUUUCUGAGAGCGACGGUCUGCGACCCAUUCGCAGCUCACAUGCAGAGCGAAAACAAGUACUGCGGAAGCGUGAGGAGGUGUUUAUCGCUAAACAAGGAGCUACAUUUAUAAUCUGGAACUGGUUUGGUUACAGAAAAUCAGGUGUGCGGCAAACGACCAUAAUAUGCAAAGUCUGCCAAAAAAACCGUGGUUACAACGGAGGAGACAAGAGUCAAGCAGGCCUAAAGUUAAAAAAAUUCCUACUCGGACGAAAAUAGUCGGCGCACUUGCUCGACGUGUUGCCAUUCCAAACUGUCGAGAAGGAAGGAUUCGAGCGAACGAUCCAUAAACUGGACGCACGAUAUAACACGGAAGUAUUUCUCCGGAACGGCCCUGUCCGCGCUGUAUGAAGAGUGCCGUGGUAGCUUACAAAUAACUCUGUCUACGGUGGAGUUUUACGCCUUGACUACAGACAUGUGGAGUAGCCGAGCGACUGAGCCAUACAUUAGCCUCACGGUCCACUACAUAACGAGUGACUGUUGCGUCCAGACAAGUUCGUUUCCAGAUGACCACACGGGUGAAAACACUGCAGGUGGCUUGAAGCGGUUUCUUCAAGAAUGGGCUUUAGAUGAGGAGAAACAGGUGUGCCGGACAACAGACAGUGGAGCUAAUAUAGUAAAAGCAGUCAGUCUGAACAUGUAGACAAGACUGUCUUGCUUUGGCCAUUGUCUACACAUUGCUAUUGACCAACAAACUUCCAAAGAACUCUCUUUACCAUCAGAGGGUGUGGAGGAAAGAGCCUACCUGAAGGUGUGACAAGCAGGAGUGGGCGGAGCCGGUUGCCAUGGAGGCAUGAAUAAUGCAGUGGGCCCACUAACGGAGAGGUGGAAAGGUGCUGUGCCAGUCCUGCCAGGUACAGAGCUCGCUUUCGAGAGUACCUCUGGUUUAUGCUAUCCAUCGGGUGCAGGAUGCUCUGAGAAGAAAAAGCAACGAACUACAACUUACAGCAGGAAUCGUGACCGCCAGAUCAACAGAAACUCUUGGCUUGAUGCAAGUUCCCAGAGGAUAACUCCCAAUCAUGUCCACAGAGUCAGGUGG